GAUGAACGCUAGCGGCAGGCUUAAUACAUGCAAGUCGAGGGGCAGCAGGUCUGUAGCAAUACAGAUGUUGGCGACCGGCAAACGGGUGCGGAACACGUACAGAACCUUCCUUCGAGCGGGGAAUAGCCCAGAGAAAUUUGGAUUAAUACCCCAUAGUAUAUUAGAGUGGCAUCACUUUAAUAUUAAAGAUUUAUCACUUGAAGAUGGCUGUGCGGCUGAUUAGGUAGUUGGCGGGGUAACGGCCCACCAAGCCAGCGAUCAGUAACUGGUGUGAGAGCACGACCAGUCACACGGGCACUGAGACACGGGCCCGACUCCUACGGGAGGCAGCAGUAAGGAAUAUUGGUCAAUGGACGCAAGUCUGAACCAGCCAUGCCGCGUGGAGGAUGAAGGUCCUCUGGAUUGUAAACUUCUUUUAUAUGGGAACGAAAAAGGGUUUUCUAACUCGUCUGACGGUACCAUAUGAAUAAGCACCGGCUAACUCCGUGCCAGCCGCC
rnacentral:rRNA from 1 species